AUUGAACGCUGGCGGCAGGCCUAACACAUGCAAGUCGAACGAGUGGCGGACGGGUGAGUAAUGUCUGGGAAACUGCCUGAUGGAGGGGGCUAACUACUGGAAACGGUAGCUAAUACCGCAUACCAUCAGAUGUGCCCAGGUGGGAUUAGCUUGUGGGUGGGGUAAAGGCUAACCAAGGCGACGAUCCCUAGCUGGGCUGAGAGGAUGACCAGCCACACUGGAACUGAGACACGGUCCAGACUCCUACGGGAGGCAGCAGUGGGGAAUAUUGCACAAUGGGCGCAAGCCUGAUCCAGCCAUGCCGCGUGUAUGAAGAAGGCCUUCGGGUUGUAAAGUACUUUCAGCGGGGAGGCGUUACCCGCAGAAGAAGCACCGGCUAACUACGUGCCAGCAGCCGCGGUAAUAC
rnacentral:rRNA from 1 species